UAAUCCUUUAAAUCUGUCCCGUGAGGCAGACAAGGAGUCAAAGUAUAAGAUGGUGUCGCACAGUGAGGCUGUUGGUAGUUUCUCUGUGCUUGCCUAGAUUUUCUGAAGUCUCCUUGUGAAGGAGACUUUUUCUAUU
rfam:Streptococcus intermedius B196, complete genome.